GAGAAAAGGAGUUGCACAACCACAUUAUUCCAAAGGAUAUCAUCUAAUCCAAACCUACGUCAGCACGGAACUUCUGAGAUAAAUCUUCAAGUCAGCAAUGGAACAGAAGGCAAACGAGUGUCCCACCUCUCCUCAGAAGCGCAUGAAGAACAGGUCCAAAUCCACAGAGGAGAUGCAACAGACGAAGAAGGCCUUUUCCUCACAAAAAUCACUCCCGGGCAGACCAGAGCUGGAGAAAGUGAAGGAGUGUCCUGACUCUGACACGCCAUCGUCCUCCAUGGAGGAGUUAAAAUGAUAAAUGGAAGGACACAUCAUCAUAAACACAAGAUACAUAAAAUGUACAUAUGAACGCAGAGAAACAUGCAAAAUAUUAUAAAAAGAUAAUCGUGAACUACAUUAGGCCUUUAAAACACACAAGCAAUGAUUUUAUGAUUGGUUAAAUAAAAUUAAAGACAAACUCACACACACUGAAACAAUCCCUUGUGAACACCUGUGAUGAUGCAGUUUCAUUUUAUUGUGAUUGUUGUAUACAUACCACACUGAAUGUGUAUUAUUGAAAAUAAAUUGAGGCUGU